rnacentral:misc_RNA from 1 species
UUGAUUUAUUUGUUUUGCCUUGCGGCGUAUUCAGAAGAUGCUGAUAAUACAAGAGUUUGAGGGUCCCCGGCGGCCGCUGGUCCAGUCCGCGUCCGGGCUGGGGCGAGUCCGCCGAAGCAACGAUAGGUAGGUUCACAAAAGGGUUGGGGAGUUGAAAACUCGGUAAUGAUCCCUCCGCUGGUUCACCAACGGAGA